rnacentral:rRNA from 1 species
CAGUCGCCGCGGGAACACGGAGGGGGCUAGCGUUGUUCGGAAUUACUGGGCGUAAAGCGCACGUAGGCGGUUCGUUAAGUCUGUUGUGAAAGCCCCGGGCUCAACCUGGGAAUGGCAAUGGAUACUGGCGAGCUAGAGUGUGUCAGAGGAUGGUGGAAUUCCCGGUGUAGCGGUGAAAUGCGUAGAGAUCGGGAGGAACAUCAGUGGCGAAGGCGGCCAUCUGGGACAACACUGACGCUGAGGCACGAAAGCGUGGGGAGCAAACAGGAUUAGAUACCCCUGUAGUCCCUGUCUCUUAUAC